CUCCUCUAUGCUCUAUCCUCUCCUCACGACCGGAUCCGCCGCCGCCGCCCCCGCUACAGCAUGCCGUCGCCCUAACGCCACUCGCUGGUGCGGAUCCGCCGCCACCGCCGCGCCCCUCCCUCCGCUCGCCGCUGCCUCCGUCUUCGCGAUGCUCCCGCCCAAGAUAAAGAGGUUACGAGGCUGAGACGCCAAUGUCCAAGCCCUUGCUGUUCACCUUCCCAGCCUCCCUUCCAAGCUCCACCAGCCUGAUGGCUGAUCUGACCUGUGGACGGUGCUACGCUGAGCGAUCGACUGGCAUCCUGCUCAGCCCUGCCGUCAAGCGCGCCCUAUGGGCUCGCCAUCUCGCGCUCCCCGUCAUAAGACUCGUGAUGGGCGAUGGGGUGGAUGAUCUGACACGCCUGGCGACCCAGAGGAGAAGGAUUUGGAGAGAAGGUUGGGCGGCAUACAGGUGUUCUCGGUUGCCAAGACUGCAGCCAUGGUUAUGGGUGGAAUUUACCUUGUCUAAUCUAUUACAUGAAUAGUCCAUGAAUCCCCUUACGUGAGGUCAAUUUUGUAGAUAGUUUUAAUGUAGCAGAAAGAGGCCAUUCACGUGGAUAUGAAUUAAUAGUCUCAGAGUGCCAAGAUUAGAGAUGGAAUUUACUUUGCACGGCUGUCACAAGAUAAAGGAGGCAGUGGACGGGAGAUAUUCAACUGGAGUUUGAUCCUUUGUCUAAUUGACUUUGCAUUAUCCAAUAUGAUUAGCUGGUGACAUGAGAGAGAGGGGGAUAGACCCCUUUGGCUACUGCACUAAGGUUAUGCCUACAAUGUGCUACUCAUAUUCCACUUUUAGACGACAAGCAGCUUCAGAAUUCAGAUCCCUUUGAUUUACAUUUCAGAUCAUCUUGCUGCAACUUGGUAGUAGACAACCAUUUUUGGUGAUCAUAUACAGAAUUUUUUGGUUCUUCUGUUCGUAUAUGUCUUUUCAAUUUUCCUAUAUGCUAACAGAAGAAAAAGGUAGAUAGUUUGAACACCUGUUUAUUCACCUGUGUUCUACACGAAGAAAGAGCAGGAUAAAUACCAUCUGUUGGUAGUCUUUCUAUUUGUCCUUAGUUAUUUAUAUUCUACACUAAUAUAGCAAGGCGAAGCCUAAUCUUUACUCUGGGUCACUGAUAGAAGUAUUGGUACACAAUGAACUUUUUGUACACAAUUAACUUUUUGUAGUUCUUUUUCUUAUGGAAACUUUUCGUACUUCUUUGUUGUGAUAUACGCCCAUCUCGAAUUUCAUUUUAGGUCUACGUAUUUUAUCUCGGCUAGGUGUUGACAGCAAGAAACACUUCAAAUAUAUGACUCUUGUGUAUAUAAAUAUAUGCUCGCUCUACAAUAUAAUGUAGAUAAUGAUCACUAUAAUUUAAUCUGCUAUUUAGUGUACAAUAUUUGUAUUCAUAAGAAGAGAUAGUUAUACACUUCGUUGCCGUUUUAUAUCUGAGUUAAGAAAAAAUAUUAGUCUUCCUCUAUAGAGGUAUGUUGCCUUGCUGAGGCUGCUCUGGUUUUGCUAUAUUUGCUGCUCUUUUGUGCUAUACUACUAUUCCAUAUAUAGAGAGAUCGGAGAAGAGAACAGCAGCUUGUUACUACAGAUAUUUCAUGCUGCUACUCGCUUACUGUUACACAUCUACAUACAGAAGGCUGCUGCUUGCUGAUUACAAUCCAUUCAUGAUAUGUAGAUAUGUAUGCUUCUGCUAGGUACAUGUGAACAGGGAGACAAGGAAUGGAAGCUGCAGCGGUAGCCGGCCGAUGGCCACACAUUGGCAAUCACUGCUUAGAUACGUGACUCCAGCCACCUAUGUUUGAGAAUGGCAAGAAGAUGCUUAUUCUCCAUGGUACAAGGACUAGCGCAGUUUUGAAAUUCGUGCUGGCAGACGUUUUUCACCUGAUGCGUGAUCAUUAUGUGAAGUAUGCCAAUAACAAGGACAACAACAAGACAUUUGAGAGUAAGGGUCCAACUUCCCUGGAGGUGUGAUUUUUCUGUUACAAAGUGAGGUGAAUUGAGCUGAUUGUUGCUACUUCUAUUCGUGGUUAUCAGCGUGUUCCUACGCGACCCCUGGCAAGGCUGCAUCCUAUUUGCGGCUCGCCCAUGCCCACUCUCCGUGCUUCUUGCUCGUGCCAGCAGUAAGACUCUCUAUAUACAUGUCAUUAUAUCAUCCAAAAGCCAAUGGCAGAAGGUGGAAUCUUGCUUCUUACCGGAACAUCUCCAAGUUCUUCUACGAGUAUAUCAUAAUCAUUUGUAGAUUGUUGAAUUAUUUUGAUAUCUUUUUUGGGGGAAUUAUGGGAUCCUAACCUUACAUUAUCUAAACAUUACUCGAAAGGCAGAAGCCGAUCUUUAUCUAAUCAUUACUCAUAGGUGAGUGUGCCACAAGGUUCUCUUUGCAACUUUGACCUAACAUUUUAGGCAGGAUUACCGCCUGAAGCAGUUUACAUCAUUACAACUUACCAGGAGAAAGUAAAGAGUGUUAAAAAUAAAAAGUUGCAUACAAAUAUUUUGAAAAGGUAGAAUCACAUUGUGAUUGUUAAGGGAACUGUUUAAUGAUUUAUCUUUAUUCUUAAUUACUCUGAAGAGAUGAUCUCUUGAAAAGCUUCUAUUCUUCUAAUUAUACAGACAAGCCAAUCGGUCGUUGUUUUUGUAUGUCACCGUGUAGAACAAAAGUGUCAUGUGAUGUGACCCCCAUACAACCUGGUAUAUGUGCUAAAACCAUUUUUAGAUGUGAAGGUUCAAACAAGGUCGAAGUGGUUUUAUGAAGAAUUUUGAGGACCGUCAAAAUAAAGAGUUAUCAGUAGUGCACCACAACAGUUACAUUUUUAAAUACAACACAAACUGUCAAACUUAUUGUGUACCCGUUGUAACGCACGGGCCCUUGUGCUAUGUAUUGAUAAU
rnacentral:rRNA from 1 species